rnacentral:snRNA from 1 species
GUGCUCACUUCAGCAGCAUAUAUACUGAAAUUGGAACGAUACAGAGAAGAUUAGUAUGGCCCCUGAGCAAGGAUGACAUGCAAAUUUGUGAAGUGUACAAUAUUUUU